CCUACGGGAGGCAGCAGUGGGGAAUAUUGGGCAAUGGACGCAAGCCUGACCCAGCAACGCCGCGUGAAUGAAGAAGGCUUUCGGGUUGUAAACUUCUUUUCUCAGGGACGAAGCCAGUGACGGUACCUCAAUAGUAAGCCACGGCUAACUACGUGCCAGCAGCCGCGGUAAUACGUAGGUGGCAAGCGUUAUCCGGAUUUACUGGGUGUAAAGGGCGCGUAGGUGGGUCUGUAAGUCAGAGGUGGAAUUCCCGGGCUCAACCUGUGGGCUGCAGUUGAAACUAUCAGACUUGAGUACUGGAGAGGUAAGUGGAAUUCCUAGUGUAGCGGUGAAAUGCGUAGAUAUUAGGAGGAACACCAGUGGCGAAGGCGGCUUGCUGGACAGCAACUGACACUGAGGCGCGAAAGCGUGGGGAGCAAACAGGAUUAGAUACCCCUGUAGUC
rnacentral:rRNA from 1 species